rnacentral:rRNA from 1 species
GACGAACGCUGGCGGCGUGCUUAACACAUGCAAGUCGAACGGAAAGGCACUGCUUUUGUGGGGUGCUCGAGUGGCGAACGGGUGAGUAACACGUGAGUAACCUGCCCUUGACUUUGGGAUAACUUCAGGAAACUGGGGCUAAUACCGGAUAGGAGCUCCUGCUGCAUGGUGGGGGUUGGAAAGUUUCGGCGGUUGGGGAUGGACUCGCGGCUUAUCAGCUUGUUGGUGGGGUAGUGGCUGACCAAGCCUGUGACGGGUAGCCGGCCUGAGAGGGUGGACGGCGACAUGGGGACUGCGAGAGGGCGCAGAGGGCAAUGGUAGGCAGUAGGGGGGAGCAUGGUACAAUGGGCGGACGUCUGAGGCAGAAACGUUGGGGGUGUGAUGACGGCUUGUGGGGUGUGAACCGCUUUCGCCUGUGACGAAGCGGGAGUGACGGUAAUGGAUAAAGAAGCACCGGCUAACUACGUG